ACAUUAGUUUGACCUAACUUUCUCGGAGUGCCACGAAGCUAUAUAUAUAUAGAUAUGCCAUUGAGUUACAUUAGUUUGAUCUAACUUUUCUCGGAGUGCCACGAAGCUGGCCCUUUAUUUUUCCUCAAAAGGAUAUACGAUCAUAGUUUGAUGCAAUCUUUUCCUUUGGAAAAGCAGGCCAGCUUAACGGGCAGUAUAUGGUUCUUUCUGCUUGGUUGCAGCAAUAGGACGUAAGGCUGCCUUCUUUUUUGUUUGGUUACAAGUCAGGCCACUUUCAUUAUAGGCACGUAGCACGCUUCAUGGCCACCCGUUUCACUUCUCUCAUCCUAUAUAUCUCCGUCGCCAUCCACAGAAGCUUAGGAACAGUCAAAUGUUUAUCAUAUGUACCAUAAAGGAAUUUAUGAUCAUUUAAAGAGAGUUUCUAUAGGAGUUAAAACAUCAUACGAAUUUAACAUAAGCAACAUGUUGGCCCCUCCUAAGUUGUGACCACCUCAUUAUCUAAAAUCUGAGAGCAUCGUGCAUGCACAUAUUUU
rnacentral:lncRNA from 1 species